rnacentral:rRNA from 1 species
UACGUAGGGUGCGAGCGUUGUCCGGAAUUACUGGGCGUAAAGAGCUCGUAGGUGGUUUGUCGCGUCGUCUGUGAAAUUCCGGGGCUUAACUCCGGGCGUGCAGGCGAUACGGGCAUAACUUGAGUACUGUAGGGGGGACGGGAAUUCCUGGUGUAGCGGUGAAAUGCGCAGAUAUCAGAAGGAACACCGGUGGCGAAGGCGGGUCUCUGGGCAGUAACUGACGCUCAUGUGCGAAAGCGUGGGGAGCAAACAGG